rnacentral:rRNA from 1 species
CGAACGGUGAAGCCCUUCGGGGUGGAUCAGUGGCGAACGGGUGAGUAACACGUGGGCAAUCUGCCCUGCACUCUGGGACAAGCCCUGGAAACGGGGUCUAAUACCGGAUAUGACCUUCCUCCGCAUGGGGGUUGGUGGAAAGCUCCGGCGGUGCAGGAUGAGCCCGCGGCCUAUCAGCUUGUUGGUGGGGUAAUGGCCUACCAAGGCGACGACGGGUAGCCGGCCUGAGAGGGCGACCGGCCACACUGGGACUGAGACACGGCCCAGACUCCUACGGGAGGCAGCAGUGGGGAAUAUUGCACAAUGGGCGCAAGCCUGAUGCAGCGACGCCGCGUGAGGGAUGACGGCCUUCGGGUUGUAAACCUCUUUCAGCAGGGAAGAAGCGCAAGUGACGGUACCUGCAGAAGAAGCACCGGCUAACUACGUGCCAGCAGCCGCGGUAAUACGUAGGGUGCGAGCGUUGUCCGGAAUUAUUGGGCGUAAAGAGCUCGUAGGCGGCCUGUCGCGUCGGAUGUGAAAGCCCGGGGCUUAACCCCGGGUCUGCAUUCGAUACGGGCAGGCUAGAGUGUGGUAGGGGAGAUCGGAAUUCCUGGUGUAGCGGUGAAAUGCGCAGAUAUCAGGAGGA